CCUACGGGUGGCAGCAGUGAGGAAUAUUGGUCAAUGGGCGCGAGCCUGAACCAGCCAAGUAGCGUGAGGGAUGACUGCCCUACGGAUUGUAAACUUCUUUUAUCAAGGAAUAAAGUGAGGCACGUGUGCCUGUUUGUAUGUACUUUAUGAAUAAGCAUCGGCUAACUCCGUGCCAGCAGCCGCGGUAAUACGGAGGAUCCGAGCGUUAUCCGGAUUUAUUGGGUUUAAAGGGAGCGUAGAUGGGUUGUUAAGUCAGUUGUGAAAGGUUGCGGCUCAACCGUAAAAUUGCAAUUGAUACUGGCAGUCUCGAGUACAGGUGAGGUAGGCGGAAUGCGCGGUGUAGCGGUGAAAUGCUUAGAUAUCACGAAGAACUCCGAUUGCGAAGGCAGCUUACCAA
rnacentral:rRNA from 1 species